rnacentral:rRNA from 1 species
AAGCACAGAAAGCUUGCUCUCGGGUGACGAGCGGCGGACGGGUGAGUAAUGUCUGGGAAACUGCCUGAUGGAGGGGGAUAACUACUGGAAACGGUAGCUAAUACCGCAUAACGUCGCAAGACCAAAGUGGGGGACCUUCGGGCCUCAUGCCAUCAGAUGUGCCCAGAUGGGAUUAGCUAGUAGGUGGGGUAACGGCUCACCUAGGCGACGAUCCCUAGCUGGUCUGAGAGGAUGACCAGCCACACUGGAACUGAGACACGGUCCAGACUCCUACGGGAGGCAGCAGUGGGGAAUAUUGCACAAUGGGCGCAAGCCUGAUGCAGCCAUGCCGCGUGUGUGAAGAAGGCCUUCGGGUUGUAAAGCACUUCAGCGGGGAGGAAGG